UACGAAGGGGGCUAGCGUUGUUCGGAAUCACUGGGCGUAAAGCGCACGUAGGCGGAUUUUUAAGUCAGGGGUGAAAUCCUGGAGCUCAACUCCAGAACUGCCUUUGAUACUGAAAGUCUUGAGUAUGGGAGAGGUGAGUGGAACUGCGAGUGUAGAGGUGAAAAUUCGUAGAUAUUCGCAAGAACACCAGUGGCGAAGGCGGCUCACUGGCCCAUAACUGACGCUGAGGCACGAAAGCGUGGGGAGCAAACAGG
rnacentral:rRNA from 1 species